CCUACGGGUGGCAGCAGUGGGGAAUAUUGGGCAAUGGGCGCAAGCCUGACCCAGCACCGCCGCGUGCAGGAAGAAGGCUUUCGGGUUGUAAACUUCUUUUCUCAGGGACGAAGAGAGUGCCGGUACCUGAGGAAUAAGCCACGGCUAACUACGUGCCAACAGCCGCGGUAAUCCGUAGGUGGCAAGCGUUUUCCGGAUUUAUGAGGUGUAAAGGGCGUGUAGGCGGGAGCGCAAGUCAGAAGUGAAAACUCAGGGCUCAACCCUGGUCCGGCAUUUGAAACUGUGUUUCUGGAGUGCUGGAGAGGCAAUCGGAAUGCCGGGUGUAGCGGUGAAAUGCGUAGAUAUACGGAGGAACACCAGUGGCGAAGGCGGAUUGCUGGACAGUAACUGACGCUGAGGCGCGAAAGCGUGGGGAGCAAACAGGAUUAGAUACCCGUGUAGUC
rnacentral:rRNA from 1 species